rnacentral:rRNA from 1 species
GACGAACGCUGGCGGCGUGCCUAACACAUGCAAGUCGAACGGAAAGGCCCUGCGUUUGUGGGGUGCACGAGUGGCGAACGGGUGAGUAACACGUGUGUAAACUCUCCUUGUCUGUCUGAUAAAUUCAGGAAAAUGCGGCUAAUACCCGAUAGAAGCUCCUGCUGCACAGGGGGGGUCGGUAAGUUUCGGUGGUUUGGGAUGGUCUCGAGGCUUCUCAGCUUCUUUGUGGGGUAGUGGCUUACCAGGGCUUUGACGGGUAGCCGGCCUGAGAGGGUGACCAGCCACAUGAGGACUGAGAUACGCACCAGACGCCUACGGGAGGCAGCAGUGGGGAAUAUUGCACAAUGGGCGCAAGCCUGAUGCAGCAACGCCGCGUGCGGGAUGACGGCCUUCGGGUUGUAAACCGCUUUCGCCUGUGACGAAGCGUGAGUGACGGUAAUGGGUAAAGAAGCACCGGCUAACUACGUG